UACGUAGGGACCGAGCGUUGUCCGGAAUCAUUGGGCGUAAAGAGCGUGUAGGCGGCUAGGUAGGUCCGUUGUGAAAACUCGAGGCUCAACCUCGAGACGUCGAUGGAAACCAUCUAGCUAGAGUCCGGAAGAGGAGAGUGGAAUUCCUGGUGUAGCGGUGAAAUGCGCAGAUAUCAGGAAGAACACCCGUGGCGAAGGCGGCUCUCUGGUACGUGACUGACGCUGAGACGCGAAAGCGUGGGGAGCGAACAGG
rnacentral:rRNA from 1 species